AACGAACGCUGGCGGCAGGCUUAACACAUGCAAGUCGAGCGCACUCCUUUGGAGUGAGCGGCAAACGGGUGAGUAACGCGUGGGAAUCUACCCAUCUCUACGGAAUAACACAGAGAAAUUUGUGCUAAUACCGUAUACGUCCCUUCGGGGAGAAAGAUUUAUCGGAGAUAGAUGAGCCCGCGUUGGAUUAGCUAGUUGGUGAGGUAACGGCUCACCAAGGCGACGAUCCAUAGCUGGUCUGAGAGGAUGAUCAGCCACACUGGGACUGAGACACGGCCCAGACUCCUACGGGAGGCAGCAGUGGGGAAUAUUGGACAAUGGGGGCAACCCUGAUCCAGCCAUGCCGCGUGAGUGAUGAAGGCCCUAGGGUUGUAAAGCUCUUUCGCCGGUGAAGAUAAUGACGGUAACCGGAGAAGAAGCCCCGGCUAACUUCGUGCCAGCAGCCGCGGUAAUACGAAGGGGGCUAGCGUUGUU
rnacentral:rRNA from 1 species